CGGAACACGUACGCAACCUUCCUUUAACUGGAGGAUAGCCCCUCGAAAGAGGGAUUAAUACUCCGUAACAUAAUCGAUGUGGCAUCACAUUAUUAUUAUAGCUCCGGCGGUUAAAGAUGGGCGUGCGCCUGAUUAGAUAGUUGGCGGGGUAACGGCCCACCAAGUCUGCGAUCAGUAACUGGUGUGAGAGCACGACCAGUCACACGGGCACUGAGACACGGGCCCG
rnacentral:rRNA from 1 species